UGCACCCCUAAACCCCUACAGCCCGGUAGAGUUGGAACGAUGCAGAGAAGAUUCGCAUGGCCCCUGCGCAAGGAUGACACACACACACAAGUCGAGAAGUGUACCAAGUGUCA
rnacentral:snRNA from 1 species